rnacentral:rRNA from 1 species
CUUGCCUCUUGGACUGGGACAACUGUUGGAAACGACAGCUAAUACCGGAUAUUAUGAGAUUCUCGCAUGAGAAACUUAUGAAAGCUAUAUGCGCCAAGAGAGAGCCUUGCGUUCCAUUAGCUAGUUGGUGGGGUAACGGCCCACCAAGGCGACGAUGGAUAGCCGGCCUGAGAGGGUGAACGGCCACAAGGGGACUGAGACACGGCCCUUACUCCUACGGGAGGCAGCAGUGGGGAAUAUUGGACAAUGGACCAAAAGUCUGAUCCAGCAAUUCUGUGUGCACGAUGAAGGUCUUCGGAUUGUAAAGUGCUUUCAGUUGGGAAGAAGCAAGUGACGGUACCAACAGAAGAAGCGACGGCUAAAUACGUGCCAGCAGCCGCGGUAAUACGUAUGUCGCAAGCGUUAUCCGGAUUUAUUGGGCGUAAAGCGCGUCUAGGCGGAAAAAUAAGUCUGAUGUUAAAAUGCGGGGCUCAACUCCGUAUUGCGUUGGAAACUGUUUUUCUAGAGUACUGGAGAGGUGGGCGGAACUACAAGUGUAGAGGUGAAAUUCGUAGAUAUUUGUAGG